rnacentral:rRNA from 1 species
GUGGGGAAUCUUAGACAAUGGGGGCAACCCUGAUCUAGCCAUGCCGCGUGAGUGAUGAAGGCCUUAGGGUCGUAAAGCUCUUUCGCUGGGGAAGAUAAUGACGGUACCCAGUAAAGAAACCCCGGCUAACUCCGUGCCAGCAGCCGCGGUAAUACGGAGGGGGUUAGCGUUGUUCGGAAUUACUGGGCGUAAAGCGCGCGUAGGCGGACUGGAAAGUUGGGGGUGAAAUCCCGGGGCUCAACCUCGGAACUGCCUCCAAAACUAUCAGUCUAGAGUUCGAGAGAGGUGAGUGGAACUCCGAGUGUAGAGGUGAAAUUCGUAGAUAUUCGGAAGAACACCAGUGGCGAAGGCGGCUCACUGGCUCGAUACUGACGCUGAGGUGCGAAAGUGUGGGGAGCAAACAGGAUUAGAAACCCCAGUAGUCC